rnacentral:rRNA from 1 species
GAGUUUGAUCAUGACUCAGGUUGAACGCUGGCGGCAGGCCUAACACAUGCAAGUCGAGCGGAUGACGGGAGCUUGCUCCUUGAUUCAGCGGCGGACGGGUGAGUAAUGCCUAGGAAUCUGCCUGGUAGUGGGGGACAACGUUUCGAAAGGAACGCUAAUACCGCAUACGUCCUACGGGAGAAAGCAGGGGACCUUCGGGCCUUGCGCUAUCAGAUGAGCCUAGGUCGGAUUAGCUAGUUGGUGGGGUAAUGGCUCACCAAGGCGACGAUCCGUAACUGGUCUGAGAGGAUGAUCAGUCACACUGGAACUGAGACACGGUCCAGACUCCUACGGGAGGCAGCAGUGGGGAAUAUUGGACAAUGGGCGAAAGCCUGAUCCAGCCAUGCCGCGUGUGUGAAGAAGGUACUUCGGGAUUGUAAAAGCACUUUAAGUUGGGAGGAAGGG